rnacentral:misc_RNA from 1 species
GAAAUGCGAUAAGUAAUGUGAAUUGCAGAAUUCAGUGAAUCAUCGAAUCUUUGAACGCACAUUGCGCCCGCCAGCACUCUGGCGGGCAUGCCUGUUCGAGCGUCAUUUCAACCCUCAGAACCCCUUGCGGGAUCUGGCGUUGGGGAUUGGCAUACAGCCAGCCCCGAAAUCUAGUGGCGGUCCCUCCGCGACCUCCCCUGUGCAGUAGCGAUACCUCGCAGCGGGACAGCGGUCUGACCACGCCGUAAACCCCCAACUUCUCAAGGUUGACCUCGAAUCAGGUAGGAAUACCCGCUGAACUUAAGC